UGUCAUUUAGGGUCAUCUUAUUUGGAUAAGAGAUUAUUCAGUUCCACUGCUUCCCUCUACCACUCAUCUUUUGAGCUUUUUUUAUAGCCAAAGACUUUUACCGAAAAAUGAAGGGGAAGACACCAGUCGCUUC
rfam:Callithrix jacchus chromosome 8, whole genome shotgun sequence